rnacentral:rRNA from 1 species
AUGCAAAAUUGUAACAGCCCCAAAAUUCGGUUAUCAAUUUUUGUGCUGUUAUUCCUUCCUGGCACUCAUUUUCAAAAUCUUUCCCCUGAGUUUUGCUCGAUGACUCUGAGACUUCUUGUCAUUUCCCACCUUUCAAAACCUUGCUCAUGUCUUUGUAAGUGGGCAAGACCUCAUUUGCAUCAGCUCAAACCCUCUCAUUGCCCUAAUUCCAAAUUGUUGGAAUUUGAAUAUGGCCUUUGUGAUUACAAAGGAGCUAUCAGUUUCCUGGAUCUGUUGAUCAUCCCAUCUAUUUCUAGAGACCCCCCUAUCCUUCUAAACCUUGGAUAUCCAAAAAUAUUGCCAAGUCCAAUGCAAUAUUUUUGA